UACGUAGGGUGCGAGCGUUGUCCGGAAUUAUUGGGCGUAAAGAGCUCGUAGGCGGUGUGUCGCGUCGGCCGUGAAAACCUGCAGCUUAACUGUGGGCGUGCGGUCGAUACGGGCAUCACUGGAGCUCGGCAGGGGAGACUGGAAAUUCCUGGUGUAGCGGUGAAAUGCGCAGAUAUCAGGAGGAACACCGGUGGCGAAGGCGGGUCUCUGGGCCGAUACUGACGCUGAGGAGCGAAAGCGUGGGGAGCAAACAGG
rnacentral:rRNA from 1 species